GACGAACGCUGGCGGCGUGCCUAAUACAUGCAAGUCGAACGCAGAUGCGAAGGGGUGAGUAACGUGUAGGUAACUGCCCCAUCGCGGGGGAUAACUUUUGGCAACGAUAGCUGAUACCGCAUACUGUGAGAUGGACCUGCGUUGUAUUAGCUUGUUGGUGAGGUAAAGGCCCACCAAGGCGACGAUACAUAGCCGGACUGAGAGGGUGAACAGCCACACUGGGACUGAGGCACGGCCCAGACGCCUACGGGAGGCAGCAGGGGGGAAACUUCGGCAAUGUGCGGAAUGCUGGACAGGCAACGGCGGGGGAGUGAAGAAGGUUUUCAGGGCUUAAAGCUUUUUUGUUAGGGAAGCGGUAAGUAACGAGGAAGCGACGGCUAACUACGUGCCAGCAGCCGCGGUAAUAC
rnacentral:rRNA from 1 species